UACGGAGGGGGCUAGCGUUGUUCGGAAUUACUGGGCGUAAAGCGCACGUAGGCGGAUAUUUAAGUCAGGGGUGAAAUCCCGGGGCUCAACCCCGGAACUGCCUUUGAUACUGGGUAUCUGGAGGUCGAGAGAGGCGAGUGGAAUUCCGAGUGUAGAGGUGAAAUUCGUAGAUAUUCGCAAGAACACCAGUGGCGAAGGCGGCUCACUGGCCCGGUACUGACGCUGAGGUGCGAAAGCGUGGGGAGCAAACAGG
rnacentral:rRNA from 1 species